UCCCUUUCUUCUUUAAAUGUGAAGUGAAAUUUCCAAGUAAGAAAUGCAUUCCUGCCCGUGCACUGCUGGCUCUGUUUUCCUGGCUUCAGGUCCACCAUGUAACUGACACCACCAACAUUAACAGGACGCUUAUAUUAGAGCCUCUUAUUGCAUGUUUUGUUUGGAUUUCCUGCAAUGUGUGGAUUUACCAAGAUUAGAGAGGGGAUAGCCUAACAUAUGAAACGGGAAAAGACCGCUGUGUAAUCCAUUUAUUUCAACAAAGUAACUGUAUUCUAAUAAGCGGUAGCUGCAAUGGAAUGCAGUUACUCAUAUUUUAUAUUUUAAAUACGAUACGCCGUUACAUGUAUUCUGUUACUCCCCAACACUGUUCACAGGAGGGUAAAACUGUAAUUGGACUGAAUUGUAGGAUUGAAUUUAAUCCCACUGGGAUAAGAAAUUUGAAUUUGGCUGAGAGAAAAACCACCACAAAAACACACGUAUACACAUAAAACAACAAAAAAAACAGACACAACUGAAAUCUAAUAAUGCGACCUGUUACCUAAAUAUUUGGUACCGGCUAAAGAAUGAGCAGUUAAAAGCUCUGAUUUUUAGUGUAUUUUUUCCUAGAUGUGAAGCCACUUUGCCACUUUUGUUGCUGCUGUUUAUUUAAACAUUCACAUUACUCUGUGAAGUGCAGCAUUCAAGCCAACUCUGCUUGGACAAAUAUGUGACAGAAAAUAUUUUGUGCCUUUUGCCCUAAAACCCAACUGGGAUCAGUUCAAAGUGUUGGCUUUGAAUAUCACAUUAUCUGUAUCUCACCUGGUUUCCAGUUGUUGUGUGUUGUGGAGCUGUCUGAGCUCCACCCACAUCAUCAGAACAUUGGAUUGGAUACAAGUACUGCAUGAAACAAGUUUUGACCAGUAAUUAAUUAAAACUACUCUUUUAAAAAACAAACAACAAAACACCCCUGCAGACAGCUCCCUUUUUUUGCUGUCUUGCAUCUGUGUUUAUCGAUGCAGCGUCUGCAGUUCUCUCAAGAAAAAAAUAAUACUGCUAAUCCCACCUGGUUAAAUAGCAUUAAAUAGUUUAAAUAUUUUUUUUAAUAAUUAAUUGUUGGUUGUUAAUUGCUGCCUUCUAUUAACAUGUCCGAGACAUAACUGUGGAAAAAGAAGGGGCCACAGUUACUACAGGCCCUUAACCAGUUUGUUGUUCGUGACUACAGUAAUGAGUAAUAUUAUAAUACAUGAAAACCCACUAAACCUCACCUCUUCACCAAUAUUAUAGGAGAGAUACAUGACAUUAAGACUGUUGCAUCUAGAAUAGCACCAAGCAUUAACAGUAAAUAUAUUUUCUAAGGAUGAAAGUUAUUUAAAAAAAAAAAGGAAAUUCAUUUUGACCAAUAAAGAUCGAUGAUUUUAUUUAAUUUAUUUACAGACUGAUCAGUUCACUGUAUGAUAACAGGACAGGGGUGUAUUAGUUCUCUGUAGCUAACAUGAACUGAUCUGGAGUCAAUGUUAUUUCCAGCGAGGAAUUUAGACGUUCCGGUGGAAGAUAUGUGCUGUAAGUAAAUCUGUAUUUACUGUGACUGGCUUGCAGGUAAACGAAGGAACCAGGAAAAUCAACUGUAUGAGGCUGCUCAAGAGCAUCCUCCAGGCCAAACUCGAAAUGAGAAUGUUCCAGGAGAUGCCUCGAGUCUUUCCCCAACAUCUACUUAUGCCCUCGUGGAGUUUCACCCUAAAACAGAAUCCACAAAGUCCAAAAAAAUUCCACAGCCAGAGACGGUGUAUGCUCAGGUUACCAGACCCACCAGGCCCAGAGUCACUGCCCAACAAACAGAGCUGGAGAACAUCAGCAGUAUAAAUUCACAAGGCUAAACACAUAUGAACUAUGAACACUUGAACUCUGCUUUUCUUUUUUCUAAAAUGUUGGCACAGAGGACAUGUUGGAUCACAUUUAUCACCUGUUUAAAACACAAAUGAACUGAAUAUUUUCUUAAUGUUUUCAAACAUUAUCCUUUUUUGUAGUAAUAUUUUUGUGUUUUAGAUGGUGAUGGCUUACUGUGAAGUACAAUAUUUUGUUUUUAGAGCUAUAUACUUGAAUCUCUUUUUCUUUUUCUUGUUUUUUGAAGUUUUCCUGAAUAAUGUAGUGCAUAUAAUCUUUAUCAAUAAUUAUUGUAAUUUUUUAUAUGUGUUGCAGGCUAUAAAUAAUACUUAAAGUUAAUACAUUUCAAGUUUUCUUUUUAUAGAUCUAGACCAGGGGUGUGAAAUAUAAGACUCCAAUCCAGCCCACUGGGAGCUUUUAAAAAUGUGAAGGAGGGCAUAAAUUUUGGACUGUCGAAUAUAUUUCAGUUGUUUUGCCAUGGCGUUAUAUAAACUAAAAUGAAUUGGUUUGGCACACUUAUCAAAGUGGGCUGGAUGUGGCCAACACUGUAAGAUCUGUUCAAAAUCCCUGAUCUAAACUUUAUGGAGAAAUGUAUUAAAUCAAUUCCUCAUUAGGAAGACUUUGUUAGUUAACAGCCACCUUAGGUUUGUUGUGGAACAGCUGCAACAGAAAAACUUUCUUUGUAAUUUAUAUUUAUUACAGAAAGAAAGGCAUGGGAAGUCAGCAAAACAAGAAUAAAGUCUGGAGGUAUACAGAAAAAUCUUAAACAUUUUUCUACUGGAAUUUUCAAAAUUAAAUUCUAAAUAAGUGUAUAUAAUAAGAAUCUGUCUGGUUGUUCUGACCAAAUGUCACAUGUCUAAUGGAGUUUCCCCAUAUUUACCCUCAUGAGUACAUGCUACUGCCAAUCAGUACACUUGGUUUCUUGAUAAAGAUGACAUGUCCAAAAGAUCAGAUCUCUUCCUUUUUUACGACUCAGACUGAAUGCCUUUGUCCUCAAAGGUCAUAGUGAAUUACACACAUACACCCAAAGCUAAAAGUACAUAAGACAGAAAAAAGAUUUUCAUUGCCUUCAUGUUUUUUUUUUUUUAAUUUAGCUGUUGUACCAGGGAACUAAAUUGUUUUCGUAAAAGUCAAAUGUAAAGUAGACAUUAACAAAAAACAUGUUUUGCUUUUGAAGAGGUUUUACAAGAACAAAUUAUGAGAAAUGUUUCAAUUAAUUUAUCCGGAAGAACAUUUUGAAAAUAAAUAUUUUGAAACUGAUUAGUGGUGAAAAAUACCAUGUUCAUCAUUUAAAGAUAAUGUUUUUAUUGUCAAAUAUAUUGGAAUUACAUGUUUGGCCUUUUAACAGCCAAACUGAGAUGAAUUACAAUACUGAUGUCAGUUGUUUCAUGAAGUCUGAGUUUCUCUUUAUUUCUCUUGUACAAGAAUAUACUUGUACCAAAAAAAGUCAAGAAAAACUCAUCUUAUUUAAAGGAUUUCUGUCAUUGUCUGUUGUGAAGUUAGAACUUCAUAUUUUCAUAAACAUUUCAAGUCUUUUUACCUGAUUGGCUUUUUGAUUUUCAAGAAUCAGAUCAAAAAAUGGAACCGUUGUUUUCUGCAAACACAGUAUCUGUUGCUGAUUCCUUCUACUAAGUUUCGUUCACUCUCUUUAUGUCUGUUUCCUCCGCCUCCUCAAGAACAAAAAGCACUCUACUCAGCAACCCUCCUCUGGCACUCUCUGAUUAAUUGACAAAGUUAGCAGUGCGGCUGGUAUUUAUCGACUCGUUGUGAGAGAG
ensembl:lncRNA